rnacentral:rRNA from 1 species
CCGAGGAGCAUGCCUGUUUUGUC